UACGUAGGGUGCAAGCGUUAAUCGGAAUUACUGGGCGUAAAGCGUGCGCAGGCGGUUUUGUAAGUCAGAUGUGAAAUCCCCGGGCUUAACCUGGGAACUGCGUUUGAAACUACAAGGCUAGAGUGUGGCAGAGGGGGGUGGAAUUCCACGUGUAGCAGUGAAAUGCGUAGAGAUCCGGAGGAACACCAGUGGCGAAGGCGACACGCUGGGCCAUACCUGACGCUGAGGAGCGAAAGCGUGGGGAGCAAACAGG
rnacentral:rRNA from 1 species